GAUGAACGCUGGCGGCGUGCCUAAUACAUGCAAGUCGAGCGAACGGACGAGAAGCUUGCUUUUCUGAUGUUAGCGGCGGACGGGUGAGUAACACGUGGAUAACCUACCUAUAAGACUGGGAUAACUUCGGGAAACCGGAGCUAAUACCGGAUAAUAUUUUGAACCGCAUGGUUCAAAAGUGAAAGACGGUCUUGCUGUCACUUAUAGAUGGAUCCGCGCUGCAUUAGCUAGUUGGUAAGGUAACGGCUUACCAAGGCAACGAUGCAUAGCCGACCUGAGAGGGUGAUCGGCCACACUGGAACUGAGACACGGUCCAGACUACUACGGGAGGCAGCAGUAGGGAAUCUUCCGCAAUGGGCGAAAGCCUGACGGAGCAACGCCGCGUGAGUGAUGAAGGUCUUCGGAUCGUAAAACUCUGUUAUUCGGGAAGAACAUAUGUGUAAGUAACUGUGCACAUCUUGACGGUACCUGAUCAGAAAGCCACGGCUAACUACGUG
rnacentral:rRNA from 1 species